GCUACCCUCUUUAGUCUUUACAAGUCCAAUGCCAAUCCACAAACAAGCCUUAUUUUCACUGGGAUCCUUUGAGAUAUCGUGUUAGUUUGUGAUAUCAGCAUAAGGGUGAACCAUCUGGAAAAUUUCUUUUCUUUGAUAUUUGAUAUAUUUCAUUGUGAAUGUAAGCUUUGGAACCAAUAGUAGUUGCCAUAAGUUACGUCAAUAAAAUCCUCUAAUUUUUUUACUUUGAG
rnacentral:lncRNA from 1 species